rnacentral:rRNA from 1 species
GAUGAACGCUGGCGGCGUGCCUAAUACAUGCAGGUCGAGCGAACAGAUGAGGAGCUUGCUCCUCUGACGUUAGCGGCGGACGGGUGAGUAACACGUGGAUAACCUACCUAUAAGACUGGGAUAACUUCGGGAAACCGGAGCUAAUACCGGAUAAUAUAUUGAACCGCAUGGUUCAAUAGUGAAAGACGGUUUUGCUGUCACUUAUAGAUGGAUCCGCGCCGCAUUAGCUAGUUGGUAAGGUAACGGCUUACCAAGGCAACGAUGCGUAGCCGACCUGAGAGGGUGAUCGGCCACACUGGAACUGAGACACGGUCCAGACUCCUACGGGAGGCAGCAGUAGGGAAUCUUCCGCAAUGGGCGAAAGCCUGACGGAGCAACGCCGCGUGAGUGAUGAAGGUCUUCGGAUCGUAAAACUCUGUUAUUAGGGAAGAACAAAUGUGUAAGUAACUAUGCACGUCUUGACGGUACCUAAUCAGAAAGCCACGGCUAACUACGUG